AUGACGUCAUCACAAAAAGAGUAUAAAAGGCGUCAUGAACGCGACGCUCAUUCUGACACUCACCACUGACAGCGAGAGCCACGUUGCUCUGGUCCACCUGCUGCGCCGGCCGUACAACAGCGUGUAAAAGUGACAAGCGUCUAGUUGCACUUUGGGCGUGCUUCCAUCUUGCAAGCUCAAAAGUUUGCAGAAGCUAGCGUUAGCAGUUAACAUCUCCGACAACCACCAAAAAGCAUUUAUCUGGCGUGCAACUAAACAAUUGAAGCAUUCAACGGUGGCAACGUCUGGACGACAGCGCCGUUUGGCCGAAGGUGCAAACCCUCAAAACGAGCCCGUCAUGGCCGACUGACUUUGCAGGCCUGCAUCUGGCACCGAGGGAACAGGCUGACUGCAAAGUGGCAAAAAAAGAAUAUUAGCAAGGCAUCUUGUCAAAUUGACUAAAGCAAACAUUUGUUCUUUUUCUUUUGUCUGCAGGGUCCAAAAUGGCUCCCUUGCAGUCCUCGCAUGACUUCAUGGGACACUUGCAGACCAGCGAGCUGUAGUUGGAGAGACGUCCGGUGCUGCCCUCCAUUCAUCACUGGUGAAACACGCACGUGUCCAAAUGUUUGACACAUGUCAAACAUUUUAGCAUGUUCUUUGUCUUUAAUCCACUAGGUGGUGCCAAAGGACCUAGCUUCUGUAGCAUGAACACUUUCCAGUAAAGAUGCAGUUGGGACAUCCGCUACCUACUGGCCAAAGAUAAAAGCCCUGUAAAGCCAUGCAGAGGUAUCCAUCCUGGAGAAUUUUUACAUUUCAGGAACUCUGCCUGUGAAACAGCAACUCUCUGCUUCCACUCUACAGCAGAGGUGGCAAAUCCAGGUCCAGAAAGUGAAAAGCCUGCCACAAUUUGUCUUCAGCCUCUGACCUCGUUCAUCUGGAUCUGUGCUGCCUGAAGAGCCCCCGCUGUGUGGGUCACCAGCCGCUCGUAGCGGAAGCUGAGGAUAAGUGCAAAGCUACAUACCAGCAGCCCUUUCUUAUUUGCUCAGCUCUAAGGCAACCUGAGAAGAAGCAAAGAACAAAAUCAACUUCUUGAGUCAUGCAGCAAGGAACAAAAUUGACUUCCUGGUCAUGCAGCUUGCAGUACGCGGUGCCAUAAACAACUCAAUUUGUGCACUGGUCCACGCAUGGCGUACCACUCGUCCCACCGGCCGACCACUCGUCGCACCGGCCGACCACUCGUCGCACCGGCCGACCACUCGUCCCACCGGCCGACCACUCGUCCCACCGGCCGACCACUCGUCCCACCGGCCGACCA